AUGAAGUUCAGCAUGACCUUAAACGCCGCCGCCUCCAUGUCCUCGAUCACGACGACCCGAGAGCUCGCCUCCCUCAUGUGCCCAAAGAACUCGGCCAUGAGCACAGGGGACCUCGCCGCCAGUAUGCUCUUGUGAGCAACCAAGGACUCGCCCGACACGAUAAACUCAACGUCCGCCGCCGUCCCGCUCCGCAGCAGCUCGCCGAGGUGGUGGUGCAAGCCCGAGGACGGCACGACGGGCAAUGGUUCGUCGUCCCGGAUCGUUACUUCGGCCAAGUCCUUGAGCACCGUGACGGUGCAUUGCACGGUGAAGGAGUCGUCCUUGAGAUAG
rnacentral:rRNA from 1 species